UUAAUAAAGAUAUUUUUUUAUUCUUUAAUUUAUUUACAGCCAGGACCCAUGAGUAAGUCAAAUUUAUUAUUUAUUUCAUAUUUUUUUUAUUUUCUUUGUAAAUUUUUUAAAAAAAAUUUUACUAUGGCAGUCAAUUUAUUUAAUAAUUAAUUUUAUUUAUUAAUAAUUAUCAUUUCUGUUACUUCCGUGUCGUUUCAGGCCAUUUUUGUGCCGUACCAUGCUGUGCCCUGGACCAUUCGGCCAGCCUGUGCCGUCUUGGCUAAGUCUGUGUCUGCUGUGCCGUGCCGUGCCAAACCAAUCAACUAUCGUGUCAUGCCCGUGCCGUUGCCGGCUUUGACCGUGUCGUGCCAGGCCGGUGCCAUGGAGCCACUAUCGUGUGCGUGCCCGUGCCGUGCUCUGCCAUUUUCUUGCCUCGUCCUGCCCGUGCCCGCUCAGACCGUGCCAUGCCGUGCCUGCCCACUUUUUACCGUGCCCAAAGCGGGCUCGUUGCUGGUUUUUUCGUGCCGUUGUCCUGUGUCUGCCCGUGCGGCAAGGUCCCUUGACACCUCUACUUUUGCACAUAUCCGAAAAAUUUUCUUGCUUGCAGAAGAUUUUGCCUAUCACUAGUGCCGUUGAUCUAUGACAACCACAUGGAAUAUAAAAGGCUCUAGGAUUUAUAUCAAGUAUCUUUUUUGUACAUUUUAAUUUUUAACCUCUUAUGUUUGGAGCCAUUAUCAUAAUAUUGUCCUCUUAUAUCAUCAAUGUUUGAUUUUAGAUCACAAAGUAUCAUUCACGUCGCUUGAAAACCCACACCCACUUAUCAUCAACUUUUAUAUCCCCAAGAAAGAACUCCUCUAUCUUAACUUUAAUUUUAUCCUUAACAUCCACACUCUUAUAACAAUUAGACAUUUGCUCUUCAUGCUUUUAGAUUCGAGUGCAAUCAAUAAUAACUGAACAAAACUUUGCUCUUAAAAUCUUCUUCAAGAUUUUUCUUUUAUUUGAUCAUCUCAUUGCCAUAACUUUCAAUUCUUUUGAAUUUAUGGCUAGAUAAUGACGUUGAAUUCUUUAUCUACCACACGCCAAAAGUACUCUUUCAUAAUAAUAAUCAAAUUCCACACAAAUUCAAUAAGUUGACAACAGGUCCAAUAUUCUUCUCAUAAAUUAUCUUAUUUUGGUCUACGAAAUGGCAAACUAUUCUGAGAAAGAGGCUUACAACCCCGAUGAUUUAAACUUGUAUCAUCUUCCAAUGAACUCUUUCUUUAUCGAUUUAUUCUUCUAUUUUGUUGUCAAUUAUUGCUUUUUGUUGAAAUCCAUUAUGUAAGUCUACCUACCUCACAACAUUGGUGAUGUUUUCACAUUCGUUUCAUGUUCUCUAAGCUUUGUAGGAAGGUUAUGCAAAUCAUCAAUUCCCUCCUCAGCCAAAAUAGUUAUCAUUGAUUUAGACUGGAAUAACUUGCACAAAAACAAAAUACAUUAUUCAACUCAUUUGAAUACCACGCUACUUCCUUCUUACUGUCCAACCAUUUAAAGAGCAAACCUAGAGUUUGGAAGAAAAUAUUCCUCCCAGGAGGUAACUUUCCUUGGAAAUGCAUCACUUUCUCUUAGAUCCUUUAUAGGACCAUCGUAGAACAACAUUACUUCUUAGUGUCAUUAAUAACUUCCCCAUAAAGCCCCCGAUUGUGUUCACAUCAAUAUCUUUCUCAAGGUAAGGAAUACUUUUCAUUUUCUCUAUUACCACCUCCACCCUAAGAUCAUCAUUUAUAGAAAUAGGGUCUUCAUUAAACUCGUCCCCAAUUAAUUCAAUUUGUUACAAUCAACACCUUCAACUUACUUCUUCACCUCAGAAGAUUAUUAACACAUUCCUCCCCUCCCCUUUUUCCUGCAUCACUCUGCUUUUCAAACUUGACUUAAAAGUUAGAUUUUAUUUUUUUUGCAUCAAAUAGUCUAGAGCUUGAACCUACUCGAGAUUUUUCGUUGCACACGCAAAUCUUUCAUUGCUUUAAUUUUUCUGUGAUACGAUCUCUCGAACUUCCGAGUAUUAUGCUGCCCUAGUCGGUUCCUAUGCUUUGGGAACUGACUUAAGAUAGCUAAAACAUACACCAAAAAGUGGUAAGCAUUUUGGGCGCCGGUUUGCCGAGGAGUUAAAACGCCAAGUUUGAGUUCUUGUGAUUUUACACAAGUGUUGUGUAACGUAUUUAAUUUUUGGCUUUCUUUUAUAAAAAAAAUUAAAAAAAAUCAUGCAUUUUGGAUUGUAAUUUUGAAGUACCACGUCUAAUCAAGAUUGGGAUAGCCAUUACUGUGUCUAUAUUAUUCACCUCCACCGCCUUGGUCUGAGGAAGUAUGUACACUUGAAUCCAUCAUGACAACCUCAAUAGGGCAAGGGAGUAUGAACAACAAAAUGUGCAGUACUAUAGUCCCAAGGUCAGUAACCCUUUAGUUUGAAUGUGUAUCAGCAUUCCCAAAAAACAGAGUUAGAGGACAACUUUGCAGUCUUCCCUUCAAUACCAACAACCUGUAUCCCCAGCACAUCCAUGAGGAAGUGGUAUAUAAUGAGUCAUGUCUAUAUGGUUUUAGUCAUAACCACUUUGGUGACUGAAUGUCCACAGGCUCUGGAGUUUCCAAAAUUGUGCAAAAAUAUGUCAAACUACCCACGGAUGCUUGAAAUCCUAGAGUGACAAUCAUACUCGACAUUCCCAAUAAUGAGUGGAAAACUCACUAAACUCAUCUUGCGACACAAGAACCUUGGGAGGACGAUCUAACACUUUUUGUCCACCUUCCCCCCCCCCAAGUUAUUGACUCUUCUGAACAGUCUUGCCAACGUUACUAUCCUCCUCUACCUCUAAGAAAAUCCAAUUUAGAGGCUAGUAUGUUGCAAACUCUACAAGAUUAUAAGGCUAGCGUUCAAAUAUUGGUCCACUGUCAAUCAAUUGCCGAACUUAGGAAUUCAAGUAGAAAAAACUAGUUCAAAUCCAUUUAAUGGACAAGAGAGCAAAAGUCAUUGACUCAAGCGCAAAAUGAACAAGUAUGGGAGGUAGAGACCAUUAAUGAAAGAAAGAACGGCGGAGUUGUGGGAAAGAGAGACGCGAACCCAAUAGUUUUGAGGUGAACAUAUCAGUGAGGAACACGCACACCUGACACAAGAACUGAUCACCACUUAAUGAACUUAUUCAAUUGUGGAGAGUUGAACUAUUUAGUCCACUCUAAAUCUUUCAUUGAGUAAGAGCUAAGCGAUAUUCUUGGUGUAAAAAUUUUAAUUAGGUGUGGAUCCUUAUUUAACAACUGAUCAACAAACUAAAAACUACGCCGAUUUAAAAAUGAAUAGUGGUGGGAAAUAUAAAGUUUAAGGCACAGAAAAAAUAUAAAAAAUAUUCUAAGUACGUGAUCAGCUGGGAUGGUCGAAUUCAAUUUGUGUUAGAAUACUAAACUGGACUCCUUUGUGAUCACGGCCAAAUGGAUGUGGGUUCUUAACAUUGGAAAAUCACCCGAUGAUUUUGUUGUAGUUUCCUUAUAUAUAACGUAAUUUUCUAAUUUCUGCUUAUUUCCAUGUUAUGUUCAAACUACACCUUUCAGUCUAUGCGCUAACAUCCAUUUAUAGAAUUAAAUUUAGUGCAAUCUAUGAGGGACCAAAAGCAAAGGGCAUGAACUAAAAAGAUACCUGACUAGUCGCGCCAAUACUGAAUCAGUGAAACUAAGUAGGCAGCUGCACUAAGGAACAGGAUGUUAUGCUCCACAGGGCCCUGUUCCCUUUUUAUUUAUUGUUGUUCUCAUUUUGCAUUGAGGAAACUGCACAAUUCAGUUGGGGGGUGUGAGGGUUAAUUUUUUAUAGCAUAUUUUUUAAUUUGCAUAGUUUAUUAGUAUAAGAUAGUGAGUUUUGUUAAAAAAAAAAUUUUGGUCAAAUUUUUACUUAAUCAGUGAUUUAAGGAUGUAUUUGACUCCAAGUAUACUCAUGUAAAUUAUAAAAAUUCAGUUUGAUGUUUAAAUUUGAUUUUAUGCUUGUAAAAAGGACCAGUUUUACAUAACUCUAGAAAUAAACCAAAUGAACAAAGGUGAACAAUAUGUAUCAUGAAAUUUUGACAAAGUGUCCAAUUUUUAAUAAGCAUACACUUUGAGCCUCCUUUUUUGUGAGAACAUAAUAUUCUAUUAAAGGCAUAACCAGUUUAUAUUUGGGUUCAAAUAUAUUUAUUCGUUAUUUAUGGCAUGUAGGGGAUGAUACAAUGGCAUUCUUUUAUUAUAAGACCACAUAUUUUGAGUCUAACUCCUUUGAAUCAUAAUUGAGCUAUACACUUGAUAAAACUUUCAUUCUCGAAGUCUAGGUAACCGGAGUUGAGGGAGGAUGAAUGGUGCCAUGAUAAAUGGGGUUCAGAUUAAGUAUGUUAUUUAAAAAGAUGCAUUAAAGUACACUGUGUUCGAAUUGAAAAAAAAAACACUACUCUGGAGUCGAUUCAGAUAAAGAUCACAGUAUCGUGCACAUUGCCCCAAGACCCAAAUUUUCACUCUUGUUAAGAAGAAGGAACAAAAAGUGAAAUAUGAAGAGAAAAGAGAAUGACAUGAUGAUGAGGACAAUGAUUUGGAAUAGGUCACGACCUGUGGUCUAAAUGGUAGUAGUAGUUAGUAGUACCUUGGGUUGAAUGAUAGCAAAUUAGGUAGAAAUCCACACCACACUGUAAAGCUGUCAUCUCUUUUUGGUCUAACCCGAGUUUUGGUACCAAGGUCAAUAAAAGCUAAAAAAUCCAUGUUAACUCUAAUAGUGCCAUUAAAAAGUUUUCUUUAUAAACUUGCUCAUGUCUAUAAUUUUAUAUGUUCUCUUUCUUGUGAAAAAUAUGCCUAGAUUUAUAGAAAAAUAAAUUUAUUUUGAGUGACACACCCACGUGAGGUUUAAAAUUAAAGUUAAAAUUCAAUUUAAAUAGAUAGAAUAAAUACAAGGUUUCCUUGAUUAAGUGAUGAGAACAUUGAUUGGUUAUAGUUGAAUUCGACCUAUAAACAAGAUUUUUAAAUUUUUGCAUUUUUCAUGUGUACUUAAAAUUUUUGUGCAAGCCAUGUUGUUAUAUAAAUCUCAAAACACUGUUAGGUAGAAUUCUUAAGCUAACCUAGUUGCUAAGGGACUAGCAAAAUUCAAGUUGGUGUGUGAUAAACACAGACAAAUAAUAUUUUUUAAUCGAAUUUUAUCAUUCUUUUAUAUUUUAUUUGUUCAAAGUAAUUGUUGUUUUGCACAAAGAUGUAUAAAAGGGUUUUGCAUGCAAAAGAGCACAAAAAGAGCAUUUAAAAGAAAAAAGAAGUCAAAUCGCCUUAUUCCCGACCGAUCCAAAAAAUUUCGAUCGGUUCAAAAAAAGAUCAGAAAAACCGAAUUGCCUAAUCCCCGACCGGUCCAGAAUUUUCCGCCGAGUCGGGUCUAUGAUCAGUGCCACAAUGCUGUGAAGGCAUUCCUCCCUUCUUUGACCCAAACAAAAGGUCAUGGACACUUUGAUGACCAAAGAUAGAGAAUUGUAAUGAUAAAGCCAAGCCUUUGGCACAGCGUAUUUGACUAAACAAUGGCAUGUUCACAUUGAAGAUGGCAUGAAUGUACCUCUACCUCUCACGUUAUCUCUCCGUGUGUAUAUAAUAUUGUAUUUUCUAUAUAAAUAGAGCAGGAGAGGAGAGUUGGAAGGCGUUAGAUUUUUUUGUCUCUUAAGUUUAGUUCUCUCUCUAAGUUUUGAAUUUUAAAUGAGUUUUAAUUUUUAGUUUUACAUAGUUUUUACAUUCCAAAUCUUGUAAUUUCCUUUGGUGUGAUUACACAAAUAGAAGUAAAGUCUUUUUGUUUACUUUUAUGCUUUCUUUUAAUCGCUUAAUGUGUCGCUUAUUUACUUUUGUCACCACUUUUUGGAUGGUUCCCCUCCAAUCUAUCGGCUGAUUUUAUGCUUUCGUUUAUAUCGCUUAAUUGAUUGUUUUUUUACUUAAUUGUUAAGUAAUUCAUCUACAAACUUUUAACAAACAAAAAAACAUAUUUAAUUUUAAAUCAAAUAUGAUAGGCUAACUAGCAUUAGUUUGGGUUUACAUCAAAGUUUUAAUUCAAUCUUAAAAUAAACUAGUUCUUUCUUUCCUUGCACAAACUUAAAAGGUUGUUUUCAUUCAAAUUGAUCAUACUAAGACAAAUGUCAAAACUUGAAUUGUAUAAAUCUAAGAUUAUGUUAUAACAAGAUUUCCUUGUUAUAUAAGACUUAGAUCAUUGCAUCUAAGGGUUUGAAACUGUAAUUAAACUUAAUUCCAAUUUUUCAAACACUAUUUUUAGAUACAAAAUAAUUUUCAUUGCAAAACUUUCUACUCAAUUUCAUUUUACCCUUGAAAAUUGAUUUAGUACAAAAGAGGAGAAGACACUAGGAUAUUAAUGAAAGAUAAAAACCAAGUAUUAAAUCAUGUCAUUUUCUUUAUAUUUGAAAGAACAAUCCAUCAAUUUUUUUCAUAUACUUUUCUAAAAUCACAAAAAUACAUGUUUAACACUUUCUUUACUUGCAUGAACGCAAACUUUGCAAACUAUAGCUCUCUGUGGAUACGAUCUCCGAACUUUCGCGUAUUAUGCUGCCUGUAGGUUCUACGCCCUUUUUUGGGAAGUACUGAAUUAAGAUAGAUACAACAUUCACCGAACAAGUGGCAAGUAUUUUUUCUAGUUUUUGCGGCAACAACGGUGUAAUAAAAAUUUCAAGUAACUAAACAUUAUAAGCCAUUUUACUGAGGCCCCUGGUUUGUCAGACAAACUGCAAUCGAACUUACCGAAUCAAACUUCGGUCGAACCGAAGUUGACAAGAUUUGCGACGAAGUUUUUGGAAACAAGGCAGUUCACUUGGCCACUGGAAGUUCAGUUCAAGUUCGACCGAAGUUGAAAAAUGUGCGAUUGAAGUUUGAAAAAACAGAUCUGGACGCUCCAAUUCAAAUUCCAACGGCCUGAUUAAUUUUCAACGGCUCUAUCACUUUUUUAACGGAAAGAUUUGAUAAAAUUUAUAUAAAUACAACCCUUGGGGUUGUGAAAAACUUAUAAAAGUGCACUAAAGUUAUUUCUAUUCUUCAAUUCAUUCUCUAGCACUUCAAAUCUUUCUCUAAUCUAUAUUUGUAUUAUUAUCAAGAGAGAAAAUACCAUAAUAUUCUUAAUUUGUAUUUAUUUAUUACACCUAUGGAUAUUUGUGAGUUUUUUUUUUUUUCUUGGCUAUAAAUUCAUUCAAUCGUGGAGAAUCACCUGUUGGUGAUAGAUUGUUAUUUCAAAAGAGGUUGCUCUUGAAGACUAGAAGUGUUUCUAAGUGGUGUAAAUAUUCGAUGAGCACCCGCAAGCUUAUUCUUAUUUCCAAAGAGGUGUUCUUCUUGAAGAAUAGAGUUUUCUCUUGAGUGUUUGUAAAUAUUUUUCAACACCCGUAACCUUGAGAUAGUGGAACCCAAUGAGGACUUGGAGAGUCGACGUAGGCAAGAUUAGCCGAACCACUAUAAAUCGUGUUUGCCUUUUCUCUCCCUUAAACUCCUUUAAACUUUUCUCGCAUUGUAUAUAUACGCUCCUAUACG
rnacentral:lncRNA from 1 species